rnacentral:rRNA from 1 species
UACGUAGGGACCAAGCGUUGUUCGGAUUUACUGGGCGUAAAGCGCACGUAGGCGGCUUUGCAAGUUAGAGGUGAAAGCCCGGGGCUCAACUCCGGAAUUGCCUUUAAAACUGCAUCGCUAGAAUUGUGGAGAGGUAAGUGGAAUUCCGAGUGUAGAGGUGAAAUUCGUAGAUAUUCGGAAGAACACCAGUGGCGAAGGCGACUUACUGGACACAUAUUGACGCUGAGGUGCGAAAGCGUGGGGAGCAAACAGG